rnacentral:tRNA from 1 species
UGCGGUGUAGUUUAACUGGAAAAACACAGUUCUCAUAAGACUGACGAUAGUGGUUCAAAUCCACUUGCCGCAA